rnacentral:rRNA from 1 species
GAGUUUGAUCGUGGCUCAGGACGAACGCUGGCGGCGUGCUUAACACAUGCAAGUCGAACGGAAAGGCCCUGCUUUUGUGGGGUGCUCGAGUGGCGAACGGGUGAGUAACACGUGAGUAACCUGCCCUUGACUUUGGGAUAACUUCAGGAACUGGGGCUAAUACCGGAUAGGAGCUCCUGCUGCAUGGGUGGGGGUUGGAAAGUUUCGGCGGUUGGGGAUGGACUCGCGGCUUAUCAGCUUGUUGGGUGGGGUAGUGGCUUACCAAGGCUUUGACGGGUAGCCGGCCUGAGAGGGUGACCGGCCACAUUGGGACUGAGAUGCGGCCCAGACUCCUACGGGAGGCAGCAGUGGGGAAUAUUGCACAAUGGGCGGAGCCUGAUGCAGCAACGCCGCGUGCGGGAUGACGGCCU